AAUCAACGCUGGCGGCGUGCCUAACACAUGCAAGUCGAACGAGAAGGUGACUUCGGUCACUGGAUAGUGGCGUCCGGGUGAGUAACACGUAGGUAAUCUACCUUCGGGUGGGGAAUAACGUCUCGAAAGAGACGCUAAUACCGCAUAAUGCAGCGGCACCUAAUGGUGAUUAGUUGUUAAAGCGGGGGAGUCUUCGGACCUCGCGCCUGAAGAGGAGCCUGCGGCAGAUUAGCUAGUUGGUGAGGUAAUGGCUCACCAAGGCUUCGAUCUGUAGCUGGUCUGAGAGGACGGCCAGCCACACUGGCACUGACACACGGGCCAGACUCCUACGGGAGGCAGCAGUGGGGAAUUUUGGGCAAUGGGCGAAAGCCUGACCCAGCAACGCCGCGUGAAGGAGGAAAUCCUUCGGGAUGUAAACUUCAUAAGUAAGGGAAGAAAGCUGCGGAUCGAAUAAGUCCGCAGUCCGACGGUACCUUACGUAAGCCACGGCUAACUACGUGCCAGC
rnacentral:rRNA from 1 species